rnacentral:misc_RNA from 1 species
GAUGAAGAACGUAGCGAAAUGCGAUAAGUAAUGUGAAUUGCAGAAUUCAGUGAAUCAUCGAAUCUUUGAACGCACCUUGCGCCCUUUGGACAUUCCGAAGGGCAUGCCUGUUUGAGUAUCAUGAACACCUCAACUCUCACGGCUUGUCCGUGAUGAGCUUGGACUUUGGGGGUCUUGCCGGCCUGUGGUGGGCUCCUCUCAAAUGGAUCAGCUUGCCAGUGUUUGGUGGCAUCACAGGUGUGAUAACUAUCUGCGCUUGUGGUUUUCCAUCAGAUAACCUUCAGUGAUAUGGAGGUUCGCUGGAGCUCACAAAUGUCUCUCCUUAGUGAGGACAGCUCUUUGAACGUUUGAUCUCAAAUCAGGUAGGACUACCCGCUGAACUUAAGCAUAUCAAUAAGCGGAGGA